UACGUAGGCAGCGAGCGUUGUUCGGAAUUACUGGGCGUACAGAGUGCGUAGGCGGUGUUCUAAGUCUGGUGUGAACUCUCCCGGCUCAACUGGGAGGGUGCGCCGGAAGCUAGGAUGCUAGCGGGUGGGAGAGGUAAGCGGAAUUCCUGGUGUAGCGGUGAAAUGCGUAGAUAUCAGGAGGAACACCUGCGGUGUAGACAGCUUACUGGACCACGACUGACGCUGAGACACGAAAGCGUGGGAGCAAACAGG
rnacentral:rRNA from 1 species